CGGCGAGUUCGGGCAUCACUGAAGAUUUAACACCGGCGGAAUCGGACGUCCACUGUCCUCGGCAUAACUAACCAGGUGUUCUCUUAUGCAAACUGCAUCGCCAUCAGAUGAAGCUGAUCACCCGGUCGAUGGCCUUGAGUCCUCUCCGCGGGACGAACAGACUUUUUUCCGCGCCUAAACGACCGAAGAGACGUAGAUCCGAGACAAUAACGCCCAGAAGUUAUUGAAAUGAGUCGAGCUGGCACCUGAAGAAAACAAUCGAACGAGCGCCUUCGCCACAGAAGGAAGAACGGGAAGCAGAAGAGCAAAUUAGGAAAAGACGAGCGAUGAAAGAGAGGGCAGCAGAUAAAGAGGGAGACGCCAUUCCAGCUGUGAGGAAGCAGACGAAGUCGACACACACACACAUACACACACACAGAGCUGGAGGCGCGUGAGCAGGUGAGCAUUAAGUCAGGCAGCUAACAGAUCACGUCGUGGUAUGAUGUCUGCAGACAGAGGAGGCCGGUCUGUACCUGCAGGCAGAGAGCAACAGCGGACAGCACACUCUCCAGGAAUGUGCUCCCCCUCCUGAGAAGGGAGAGGGGGAGAGAGAGAAGGAGAGAAAGAAAGACAAUAUUUUAUUAGAAGAAGCAGUGAUUGCUUUAAUAAUGAAAUCAUUAGGUGUGUAUUUCAGCCCAGCAUCUCAUAAAAAAGGUUUUAAAACAGGAUUUAUUUCAGAGCUAUGUUUAGUUUUUUUGCCCAUAUGCAACAAAGUGCAAUAACAACUUUUGUGUUGGUAAAGAACUUUAAAUAUUAAUAAAAAUUAGCUAAAAAUAAAGGAUGUUGGUGUAAUCUCA